GCGAUGAAUGGCUUGCAAGGGCGGUCGGCUAGUCUCCCGGAAGGGAGGUGACGCUAUGGAGGUACAAGACGCGAUGACGCUGAUGUUCACGUUCGGCAUGUUUAUUCUCGCGCUGCUCACUUACCUCAAAAAAAAAUAGACCGCCCUCUCGCGAAGGAAUGCGGUCUACUCUAUAAUCUCAUAUCCUGAUACAGCCUUCCGCCCUUAAAAGCGGUUAAUCGCGCCGGGAGUCGGUUGCCGCCGACUCUC
rnacentral:sRNA from 1 species